GCUUGGUGCUGCCUGGGUCCUCGCACGCUGUGCAUUGUGGGCAGGUGGCUUCACCUCUCUGGGUCCAGGUGCAUUGUGGGCAGGUGGCUUCACCUCUCUGGGUCCAGGUGCAUUGUGGGCAGGCGGCUUCACCUCUGUGUGUCCAGGUGCAUUGUGGGCAGGCGGCUUCACCUCUCUGGGUCCAGGUGCAUUGUGGGCAGGCGGCUUCACCUCUGUGUGUCCAGGUGCAUUGUGGGCAGGCGGCUUCACCUCUGUGUGUCCAGGUGCAUUGUGGGCAGGCGGCUUCACCUCUCUGGGUCCAGGUGCAUUGUGGGCAGGCGGCUUCACCUCUCUGGGUCCAGGUGCAUUGUGGGCAGGCGGCUUCACCUCUGUGUGUCCAGGUGCAUUGUGGGCAGGCGGCUUCACCUCUCUGGGUCCAGGUGCAUUGUGGGCAGGCGGCUUCACCUCUCUGGGUCCAGGUGCCCCCUGCACACUGCUGUUUGCUUUCCCCUGACUGGUCCCCUCUGGUCUGACCCCUUUCUCCUACGCAAUGUACCUCCCUUCUCAGAAGUCGUUAAAAUCAGUACCAGACACCAGUUAGGCCUUGGACGUCAUUCUCA